UACAGAGGUCUCAAGCGUUGUUCGGAUUCAUUGGGCGUAAAGGGCGCGUAGGCGGCGGGGUAAGUCGGGUGUGAAAUCUCAGGGCUCAACCCUGAAACUGCACUCGAUACUGGUCUGCUUGAGGACUGGAGAGGAGACUGGAAUUCACGGUGUAGCAGUGAAAUGCGUAGAGAUCGUGAGGAAGACCAGUGGCGAAGGCGGGUCUCUGGACAGUUCCUGACGCUGAGGCGCGAAGGCCAGGGGAGCAAACGGG
rnacentral:rRNA from 1 species